rnacentral:misc_RNA from 1 species
AAUUAACCCGCCGGCUUGCGUGAUUUUCAAUUGAUGUAGCCAUAGCCCGUGGGAACCUCCCGAUCUUUGCUUGCCAGUCUAGCCUGUGUAGUACGAUAUUACUACAAACUUGGAAAGUCAAAACUGUACUACAAAGAAGCAGAAAUAGGAGGCAUCUCCGGCAGUCUGUAUUUAAUUACCUUUUAUAUCACUCUAAUGUCCAGCUGAAGUAACAUUAUCUGAUUUAUAAUCCAAAUCAAAACCAUUAUAGCCAAGAAAGCAUUCAUGGCUUCCCUGUCUUCCCUCACAACUCUAAAGUCAACCCUCUGCAUUUCUCUGCUGAUCCUUCACUUUUCCUUAAUCAUGGGCCAAGGAGGUGAUGAAGAUAGCAGCAGCAACGACAACGCAGACUUGCAUGCCAAAGGGUUGAUUUUGGUGAAAAUUUGGUGUUUGAUCAUUCUUCUUGUGAGCACUUUCGCUGGUGGUAUCUCCCCAUACUUUUACCGAUGGAACGAAAGUUUCCUUCUCCUGGGUACUCAAUUUGCUGGUGGGGUUUUUCUGGGGACAUCUCUAAUGCAUUUCUUGAGUGAUUCUACAGAUACUUUUGAUAGUCUUACAACCAAGACAUACCCUUUCUCUUUCAUGCUAGCCUCUUCUGGCUAUCUCUUCACUAUGCUUGGAGAUUGUAUAGUGAUCCUGGUAGCAAAGGGUAACCAAAGAGAAUCUAGUGUGGUUCAAGUCGAAGAGGGAAGGGUAGGUCCAGAGGGUAAUAAAGAAGUAGCUCAAGUGGAUCUCAACCCAGUUUUCUUGAGGACUACUUCUCUUGGGGACACCAUUCUACUAAUUCUU